rnacentral:lncRNA from 1 species
AUGUCCCUCACCCCCACCUACACCCCCCUGCUGAGAAAAACAAAGCCCCAGACAAAGACAAUAAAAACCUGGCCUGAAGGAGCCCUCUCUCAACUGCAGGACUGCUUCUCAUCUACUGUAUGGGAUUUAUUCUCCAGCCACAACCUCCAGGAGUACACGGACACUGUACUCUCGUACAUCAGGAACUGUGUUGACAAUGUCACCGUCAACAAAAGGGUCAGGGUGUUUCCAAAUCAAAAACCCUGGAUGAAUAGCGAAGUGCAAUCCCUCCUAAAAAGCCGCAACACUGCCUUCAAGUCAGGGGACAGGGCUGCGUAUAGGGCGGCCAGGGCAGACCUGAGUAGAGGCAUCAGGAAAGCUAAGGCUGCCUAUAGGAGGAGGAUUGAAGAUCACUUUGCUGACAACGACCCCAGAAAAAUGUGGCAGGGGAUCAAUCACAUUACCAACUACAGAAGCAAUAACCAGGUGACAUCUAGGAUUGAUGCCUCGCUGGCUGAGGAUCUAAAUCGUUUGUUCGCCCGCUUUGAGACGACCAGACCCUCAGCUGUCACACCACUUCCACCCGCCCCCAGCACCGGCACACUAACACUUAGGGAGCAUCAAGUGAGGUGUGUUCUAAGGUCAGUGAAUCCCAGGAAGGCGGCAGGUCCUGAUGGAAUACAUGGAAAGGUUCUCAGAGCAUGUGCUGACGAACUGACCGGAGUCUUCACUAAAAUCUUCAACCUUUCCUUGUCAUUAAACACCGUCCCGCCCUGCCUCAAAACCUCCACCAUCAUCCCCAUCGCCAAGAAGACAGCUGUGGUCAGCCCAAAUGAUUACAGGCCUGUUGCACUUACGCCUGUAGUGAUGAAGUGCUUUGAGAGACUGGUCUGUCAGCACAUCAGGGCCAGUCUGCCUCCCACUUUGGACCCCCACCAAUUUGCCUACAGGACUAAUCGAUCCACCGAGGACGCUAUCACCAUAGCGCUCCACACUGCGCUGAGUCACCUGGAGCACAUAGGAAGCUAUGUGAGAAUGCUCUUUCUGGACUUCAGCUCAGCAUUCAAUCACAUCAUCCCAGAGAUCCUGGUCCAGAAACUGUCUCACCUGGGACUCUCCACCCCCAUCUGCCUCUGGAUCAAGGACUUCCUGACAAACAGACCACAGUCUGUCAGACUCGGCCCCCACCUGUCCAGCACCAUCACACUCAGCACCGGGUCUCCACAAGGAUGUGUUCUGAGUCCCCUCCUGUUUACGCUCUACACAUCCGACUGCUCCCCUACCCAUCUCUCAAACACCAUCAUAAAGUUUGCGGACGACACCACUGUGGUUGGACUCAUCUCAAGGGGGGAUGAGUCGGACUACAGAGAUGAGGUCAACAGACUGACUGAGUAG